rnacentral:rRNA from 1 species
AGUGGCGAACGGGUGAGUAAAGUAUCGGAACGUGCCCAGUCGUGGGGGAUAACGUAGCGAAAGUUACGCUAAUACCGCAUACGAUCUAUGGAUGAAAGCGGGGGAUCGCAAGACCUCGCGCGAUUGGAGCGGCCGAUAUCAAAUUAGGUAGUUGGUGGGGUAAAGGCUCACCAAGCCGACGAUCUGUAGCUGGUCUGAGAGGACGACCAGCCACACUGGGACUGAGACACGGCCCACACUCCUACGGGAGGCAGCAGUGGGGAAUUUUGGACAAUGGGCGCAAGCCUGAUCCAGCCAUGCCGCGUGCAGGAUGAAGGCCUUCGGGUUGUAAACUGCUUUUGUACGGAACGAAAAGGUUUGGCCUAAUAAGCUGAGCUCAUGACGGUACCGUAAGAAUAAGCACCGGCUAACUACGUGCCAGCAGCCGCGGUAAUACGUAGGGUGCGAGCGUUAAUCGGAAUUACUGGGCGUAAAGCGUGCGCAGGCGGUUAUGUAAGACAGAUGUGAACUCCCCGGGCUCAACCUGGGAACUGCAUUAGUGACUGCAUAGCUGGAGUACGGCAGAGGGGGGAUGGAAUUCCGCGUGUAGCAGUGAAAUGCGUAGAUAUGCGGAGGAACACCGGAUGGCGAAGGCUAUCCCCUGGGUCUGUACUGACGCUCAUGCACGAAAGCGUGGG